GGCCCCGCUCCGGGGUGCACGCAAGUGGCGUGCUGAGAUGGCAAAGUGCCGACCCGCGAACUUGAUCCGGGUCAUACCGGCGUAAGAAGAGCUGCACUCCCCGAC
rnacentral:ncRNA from 1 species